rnacentral:ncRNA from 1 species
AGAUAUUUGUGGGGGGACCACUUAAACAAAUUUAUUUAUUUGUUAUGGUUGAGAAGGUAAAACCUGACCCUUGGAACCUGUCGGUUAACACCGUUGUAGGGAAGCAAAUCACGGAUGUAU